rnacentral:lncRNA from 1 species
GCGCGGCCGAGAGAGAUGUGCUGUAGCGCACUGCUGCAGUAUACUGCUGCCCCCUAGCGGGCGGACGCCCCGCACCGUCACACGCAGCUCAAAUAGGGAAGCGGCGCCGGCAAGAACGCGCGUCUCUCGUCGCAGCAGCGCCGGAGUCCGCAGCGCCCACUUUAAUCUCAUUAACGCUUUAGGGCUUCCUCUCUAAUUGAGUUAGACGUUGCUGAACUACGUUUGUGGCUCCCCGCGUUAUUUUUUUUUCUCAACAGUACUGGGAUAUACAGUGUUUUUUUUUAUUGUAUUUGCAUAUGCUAAGCCUAAGGGCUCCGCUGGAUCCUGUCAUUCUCUGGCUUUAUUUUUUUUUCCAGAACCUGACGCUCGAGUAACUAAGUAUUGGUGUGUGUCACUGCGGAUCUGCCAUGUGUUUCCCUGAGCUUUCUUCCAAGCUAUAUGCAGUGGAAUGCGCACAGUUCUGAGUUGGAGAAAAGUGUCUGUGAAAUACAUAAAAGCAAAGUUUGAUGGAAGAAGAUGUCCAGAAGAACAUGUUAAAAGACUAAAAUUUGUGGAAAUAAUGGAGGGGAGCAGUCGGACAAUUUCUAAUAAAGUUCGUGGUGUAAAACAAUACUUUUUUGUAGCUUUUCUGGAUUAAUAUAUUUUAGAAAUAUUUUAACAUUAUGACAAUUGAUCUAGUAGACGAAUAAAAAUAUUCACUGAAGAUUCGUGGAACUAUUA